GUGCCAGCAGCCGCGGUAAUACGGAGGGUCCGAGCGUUGUUCGGAAUUAUUGGGCGUAAAGCGCACGUAGGCGGCUGGGUAAGUCUCACUGUGAAAGCCCGGGGCUCAACCCCGGGAGGCCAGGGGAUACUGCUCGGCUGGAGACAGGCAGAGGCUGGUGGAAUUCCGGGUGUAGCGGUGGAAUGCGUAGAGAUCCGGAGGAACACCUGAGGCGAAGGCGGCCAGCUGGGCCUGAUCUGACGCUGAGGUGCGAAAGCGUGGGGAGCGAACAGGAUUAGAUACCCUGGUAGUCCACGCCGUAAACGAUGGGCACUAGAUGCCGGUGGGAACGACCCCUUCGGUGUCGCAGCUAACGCAUUAAGUGCCCCGCCUGGGGAGUACGGCCGCAAGGCUGAA
rnacentral:rRNA from 1 species